GGCAGACGGGUGAUUAACNCGUGAGAAUUUUCCUUUUAGUGAAGAAUACCUUUGGGAAACUAAAGUUAAUACUGCAUACGUCUCGAAAGAGAGAAAGAUGGCCUAAUUGCUGUCGCUAAAAGAUAAGCUUGCGUUCUAUUAGCUAGUUGGUGAGGUAAUGGCUCACCAAGGCGAUGAUGGAUAGCCGGCCUGAGAGGGCGAACGGCCACAUUGGAACUUAGACACGGUCCAAACUCCUACGGGAGGCAGCAGUGAGGAAUAUUGCACAAUGGGCGAAAGCCUGAUGCAGCGACGCCGCGUGGAGGAUGACGGUCUUCGGAUUGUAAACUCCUGUUAAGUGUGAAAAAAGACUCAUUUUUAAUA
rnacentral:rRNA from 1 species